CAGAGAACACCCAGUUCAAUUUAACUUUCACAUAAACACGCAAUAUUUGGGACAUACUUAUACAAAAAAAAUAAUUGCAUGUUUAUCUGAAAGAGAAAUCUAACUCGGUGUCCUAUAUU
rnacentral:miRNA from 14 species